GAUUAACGCUGGCGGCGUGCCUAACACAUGCAAGUCGAACGAGGGGUAGCAAUACCUCUAGUGGCAGACGGGUGAGUAACGCGUGGUCAACCUACCGUUGAGUGGGGGAUAACUAGCCGAAAGGUUAGCUAAUACCGACAAUACGUCUCCGAGGGGCAUCCCUUGGCGAUAAAAGGAGCAAUCCGCUCGACGACGGGACCGCGUCCCAUUAGCUAGAUGGUGGGGUAACGGCCUACCAUGGCUCCGAUGGGUAGCUGGUUUGAGAGAGCGACCAGCC
rnacentral:rRNA from 1 species